UACGAAGGGGGCUAGCGUUGUUCGGAAUUACUGGGCGUAAAGGGCUCGUAGGCGGCCAACUAAGUCGUACGUGAAAUCCCUCGGCUUAACCGGGGAACUGCGUCUGAUACUGGAUGGCUUGAGUUCGGGAGAGGGAUGCGGAAUUCCAGGUGUAGCGGUGGAAUGCGUAGAGAUCUGGAAGAACACCGGUGGCGAAGGCGGUGGUCUGGGCCAUUACUGACGCUGAGGAGCGAAAGCCAGGGGAGCGAACGGG
rnacentral:rRNA from 1 species